rnacentral:rRNA from 1 species
GUCUAUGGCCUUACCACCCUGAACACGCUGGAUCUCAUUGAUCCUGGAAGCUAAGCAGGGUCAGGCCUGGAUGGGAGAUUAUGUGGUCCCCUUGCCAGCUCCCAGAGUCUGAGGCU